UUAUAUGGUCAAGUGAAGAAGCGCAUACGGUGGAUGCCUUGGCAGUCAGAGGCGAUGAAAGACGUGGUAGCCUGCGAAAAGCUUCGGGGAGUCGGCAAACAGACUUUGAUGGAGAUGUCUGAAUGGGGGAACCCAGCCAUCAUAAGAUGGUUAUCUUGUACUGAAUACAUAGGUGCAAGAGGCGAACCAGGGGAACUGAAACAUCUAAGUACCCUGAGGAAAAGAAAUCAACCGAGAUUCCCUUAGUAGUGGCGAGCGAACGGGGACUAGCCCUUAAGUGGCUUUGAGAUUAGCGGAACGCUCUGGAAAGUGCGGCCAUAGUGGGUGAUAGCCCUGUACGCGAAAAUCUCUUAGUCAUGAAAUCGAGUAGGACGGAGCACGAGAAACUUUGUCUGAAUAUGGGGGGACCAUCCUCCAAGGCUAAAUACUACUGACUGACCGAUAGUGAACUAGUACCGUGAGGGAAAGGCGAAAAGAACCCCGGAGAGGGGAGUGAAAUAGAUCCUGAAACCGUAUGCGUACAAGCAGUGGGAGCCCACUUUGUUGGGUGACUGCGUACCUUUUGUAUAAUGGGUCAGCGACUUAUUUUCAGUGGCGAGCUUAACCGAAUAGGGGAGGCGUAGCGAAAGCGAGUCUUAAUAGGGCGUCUAGUCGCUGGGAAUAGACCCGAAACCGGGCGAUCUAUCCAUGGGCAGGUUGAAGGUUGGGUAACACUAACUGGAGGCCGAACCGACUACCGUUGAAAAGUUAGCGGAUGACCUGUGGAUCGGAGUGAAAGGCUAAUCAAGCUCGGAGAUAGCUGGUUCUCCUCGAAAGCUAUUUAGGUAGCGCCUCAUGUAUCACUGUAGGGGGUAGAGCACUGUUUCGGCUAGGGGGUCAUCCCGACUUACCAAACCGAUGCAAACUCCGAAUACCUACAAGUGCCGAGCAUGGGAGACACACGGCGGGUGCUAACGUCCGUCGUGAAAAGGGAAACAACCCAGACCGUCAGCUAAGGUCCCAAAGUUAUGGUUAAGUGGGAAACGAUGUGGGAAGGCUUAGACAGCUAGGAGGUUGGCUUAGAAGCAGCCACCCUUUAAAGAAAGCGUAAUAGCUCACUAGUCGAGUCGGCCUGCGCGGAAGAUGUAACGGGGCUCAAACCAUACACCGAAGCUACGGGUAUCACGUAAGUGAUGCGGUAGAGGAGCGUUCUGUAAGCCUGUGAAGGUGAGUUGAGAAGCUUGCUGGAGGUAUCAGAAGUGCGAAUGCUGACAUGAGUAACGACAAUGGGUGUGAAAAACACCCACGCCGAAAGACCAAGGUUUCCUGCGCAACGUUAAUCGACGCAGGGUUAGUCGGUCCCUAAGGCGAGGCUGAAAAGCGUAGUCGAUGGAAAACAGGUUAAUAUUCCUGUACUUCUGGUUAUUGCGAUGGAGGGACGGAGAAGGCUAGGCCAGCUUGGCGUUGGUUGUCCAAGUUUAAGGUGGUAGGCUGAGAUCUUAGGUAAAUCCGGGAUCUUAAGGCCGAGAGCUGAUGACGAGUCGUCUUUUAGACGACGAAGUGGUUGAUGCCAUGCUUCCAAGAAAAGCUUCUAAGCUUCAGGUAACCAGGAACCGUACCCCAAACCGACACAGGUGGUUGGGUAGAGAAUACCAAGGCGCUUGAGAGAACUCGGGUGAAGGAACUAGGCAAAAUGGCACCGUAACUUCGGGAGAAGGUGCGCCGGUGAGGGUGAAGGACUUGCUCCGUAAGCCCAUGCCGGUCGAAGAUACCAGGCCGCUGCGACUGUUUAUUAAAAACACAGCACUCUGCAAACACGAAAGUGGACGUAUAGGGUGUGACGCCUGCCCGGUGCCGGAAGGUUAAUUGAUGGGGUUAGCAACGCGAAGCUCUUGAUCGAAGCCCCGGUAAACGGCGGCCGUAACUAUAACGGUCCUAAGGUAGCGAAAUUCCUUGUCGGGUAAGUUCCGACCUGCACGAAUGGCGUAACGAUGGCGGCGCUGUCUCCACCCGAGACUCAGUGAAAUUGAAAUCGCUGUGAAGAUGCAGUGUAUCCGCGGCUAGACGGAAAGACCCCGUGAACCUUUACUAUAGCUUUGCACUGGACUUUGAAUUUGCUUGUGUAGGAUAGGUGGGAGGCUUUGAAGCGUGGACGCCAGUUCGCGUGGAGCCAACCUUGAAAUACCACCCUGGCAACUUUGAGGUUCUAACUCAGGUCCGUUAUCCGGAUCGAGGACAGUGUAUGGUGGGUAGUUUGACUGGGGCGGUCUCCUCCUAAAGAGUAACGGAGGAGUACGAAGGUGCGCUCAGACCGGUCGGAAAUCGGUCGUAGAGUAUAAAGGCAAAAGCGCGCUUGACUGCGAGACAGACACGUCGAGAGGUACGAAAGUAGGUCUUAGUGAUCCGGUGGUUCUGUAUGGAAGGGCCAUCGCUCAACGGAUAAAAGGUACUCCGGGGAUAACAGGCUGAUACCGCCCAAGAGUUCAUAUCGACGGCGGUGUUUGGCACCUCGAUGUCGGCUCAUCACAUCCUGGGGCUGAAGCCGGUCCCAAGGGUAUGGCUGUUCGCCAUUUAAAGUGGUACGCGAGCUGGGUUUAGAACGUCGUGAGACAGUUCGGUCCCUAUCUGCCGUGGACGUUUGAGAUUUGAGAGGGGCUGCUCCUAGUACGAGAGGACCGGAGUGGACGAACCUCUGGUGUUCCGGUUGUCACGCCAGUGGCAUUGCCGGGUAGCUAUGUUCGGAAUAGAUAACCGCUGAAAGCAUCUAAGCGGGAAACUAGCCUCAAGAUGAGAUCUCACUGGGACCUUGAGUCCCCUGAAGGGCCGUCGAAGACUACGACGUUGAUAGGUUGGGUGUGUAAGCGCUGUGAGGCGUUGAGCUAACCAAUACUAAUUGCCCGUGAGGCUUGACCAUAUA
rnacentral:rRNA from 1 species